UACGGAGGGUGCAAGCGUUAUCCGGAAUUACUGGGCGUAAAGCGCACGCAGGCGGUUCGCCAAGUUUGGAGUGACAGUUGUCGGCUCAACCGACAAAGGACUUCAAAAACUGGUGAACUUGAGGACGAGAGAGGAACAUGGAACUCCAGGUGUAGUAGUGAAAUGCGUAGAUAUCUGGAAGAACACCAAUGGCGAAGGCAAUGUUCUGGCUCGUUUCUGACGCUCAGGUGCGAAAGCCAGGGGAGCGAACGGG
rnacentral:rRNA from 1 species